UUGUCAGUCACAUGCAAGUCAAAGUCGUUUAAAAUAUUUGUAAUUUUAUAAAUAUUGCAUUAUCACUACAAAUAAGCAUAAAUUUUGAAUUCUAUGAAAUAACUUGAUAUUGAAUUAAUUAAAAAUCUAUAAUAAUAUCAGUUUGUUCCAGAUAUAAUGCAGUCAUUAGGCCGGUUUUGGAGAGCAAAUGUCUGCACUUCAGUUUAAUGCCUAACCUCAUAGAGACAGCAAGCAUAGAAUCAAAGUAGAACCCUUAGAAAUGAGAGUACCUAAAGCCUUGAACCCGAGGAUCCAAAGACGGAUACUGAAACGCUUUGGUGUAUAUAGUAAAGUACUACCAGAGGCUACAACCCCAAGUAGAAUAGUACCUGAUCAUAUUGAAAAACCAAAAUAUAUAUUAACAGCUGAGAAAUUAGAGGUGCCUAAUGUACCUGAAAUAAAAAAUGCUGACCAAAUAAGAGGCAUGCAAAUAAGCUGCAAGCUAGCAGCUAAUAUAUUACAGAGGCUGGGACAAUUCAUAGAGCCAGGAGUGACAACGGAUGAAAUUGAUGAAUUAGCCCACAAUAUGUCUAUUGACGCUGGAGCCUAUCCUUCACCAUUACAUUACAAUGGUUUUCCAAAGAGUGUGUGUACAUCUGUCAACAAUGUUGUUGUCCAUGGUAUACCGGAUUUGAGGCCACUAGAGAACGGAGAUAUUGUUAAUGUGGAUAUAACAGUAUUUUACAAAGGCUUUCAUGGAGAUUGCUCAAAGACGUUCCUUGUUGGUGAUGUGGAUGAUAGAGGCUUACAACUUGUACAAGUUACUGAGGACUGUUUAGACCUUGCUAUAAAAUGGUGUGGUCCAGGUGUGCCAUUUUCUCAAAUCGGCCACAGAAUAUACAAACAUGCAAAAAAGUAUGGCCUAACUGUAAUUCCUUCUGUACUGGGACAUGGGAUCGGGGAGUAUUUCCAUGGCCCUCCAGAAGUCCACCACACAAUUAACAAGUACCCAGGGUUUAUGCAACCAGGUAUGGUGUUCACUAUUGAGCCUGCAAUAUCACAUGGUAGUGAACAUACUGUAUUACUGGAAGAUGGAUGGACGUUAUUGACGGAGGAUGGAUCUCGAUGUGCUCAAGCAGAACAUACAGUUUUAAUUACUGGAAAUGGAGCUGAGAUAUUGACCAAAUAAAAAUCCCCUGUAGCAGGGGUGGCCAACUUGAUUAGAUAAGAUUUACUGGUUACCAAAAUCAACCCCUUAGUAUAAUAAUAGAAAUGUGAUACAUAGCUAAAUAAUUAGACAAUUUUACCAAUCAAUAUAUAGUUACAAUAACUGUGAUAAUUCUCUCUUUGUGUAUUAUAAAAAUAAUUUACUGUGUGUGUGAUAGUUAAAGUAUUGGCCUGUUGUAUUACUUGUAUUUAUUCCAUUGUUGUCAUGUUCUGUUGCAAUUGGUUGUUGAGUUUAACUAUGGGUAUCAAUGAAAUAAAAUUUCAAAUAGCGUGUAA